UACAGAGGGGGCAAGCGUUGUUCGGAAUUACUGGGCGUAAAGGGCGCGUAGGCGGCCUGCUAAGUCGAACGUGAAAUCCCCGGGCUCAACCCGGGAACUGCGUCCGAUACUGGUAGGCUUGAAUCCGGGAGAGGGAUGCGGAAUUCCAGGUGUAGCGGUGAAAUGCGUAGAUAUCUGGAGGAACACCGGUGGCGAAGGCGGCAUCCUGGACCGGUAUUGACGCUGAGGCGCGAAAGCCAGGGGAGCAAACGGG
rnacentral:rRNA from 1 species